rnacentral:sRNA from 1 species
UCUCGUCUCCUUCAAGGACCGAUUUGGAGUCAGCUUGUUGUUGUUGUUCUUCGCUUGCCUAUGCAAAUCCUU